rnacentral:misc_RNA from 1 species
GCUAAAUGGUUUUAUAAUAAUUUUAUUAUUUUAAAUAACAACAAUAUAAUAACAUAUAAUAGCACUAGUCAGUUUUAUAUUAAUUUUUUUUAAUGUUCAUUCAAAUAAACAUUCUUUUGUGGAUGCUUUUAUUCCGUGAUAGUAUGACAUAAUGAAUGCUUAAUACUUUUCGACCUUUUUAUUAUGUAAUCAUAUUUAAAUAAACAUUAUUGUUUGGAUGACAUGGUAUUCAAAUAAGCAUCAUUUAUUUUCAAUGCUCUAUGAUUGAGAAUUUAAUAAAUUCGAUUUUCAAAAAAGUGAAAAUAUCUUAGAAAUAAAAAAUUAGAAACGGAGAAUUGGAAAAAUGAACUUGUUUUUUAGUUUUCUAAUUUUCCAUUGGAAAACAGAGAAAGGGCAAAUUUGGAAGGAGAAAAGAAAAUUGGAAAAUGAAAACAGAAAAUGUUUUCCACGACUAAACAAUGCCUUCCUAUUCUGAUUUCUCAUUCCCAUUCCUCCAUUCCAGAUAGCCCAACAAUCAAUUCAUUCCCAUUCCUUUAUGUAGUCUUCAAUGCAUGAAACAACUAAUUUAUUUAUAUACCUUGAGAGAUUCAGAAGCUAAAGUACUGAAACAUUAUGAGCAAUAGAGAUGCAAGUUAUACCUUGAGAAUGACACCAGCACCAA